CUCUACUUACCCCGCCCACUUUAAAAGCAAACUAAGGGGGAGUUUACAUUGUUUUGUUUGAGCCUCAUUCGCAAUUUUGCUCUCUUUACUCUGGGCGGCUUGUGAUGGUCACGGGAGGAAACACAAACACGUACUGAAACAUGUGGACGGAGGUGAGAGACAACAACAGCUCUGUUCACGAAGAACCACAGGACCAUAAUCUCACACAGAUAGUUUCCCCAGUGUCUUCAUGGCCCCCCUCCAACUCUGAUAGAAACGGCUCAGCAAAUACCAAUCCACCCCCUCUUGCUGAGACCGCCAUGAACAGAGAGAGUGGAAUAAUACCAGGUGCGAUUGCUGCGGCAGUGUUCAUAGGCUUUCUGUUAGCCCUCUAUGCUGCUCUUUGGAAAUGUAUGGUUACACAACCGAAAAGGAGGGAAAAAAGAGCAAGACUGAAGGCUCGUGAACACAGGUCUCUUACAUGCUGACCUCUGAACGGGACGUCCGCCUGUCUACCAGAGAUUCUGAGUUACUGAUGUUAAGUCAGAGCUUCUCCUGCUGUGAAGCACCCUCAUGAACCGUGUUUAGGUCUUAACGCACAGUUUGAGACAAUAUUUCAUGCAGGAGGGAACUAGAUGCUUCAGUUCUGCAUGGUCAUCAACAGAUCAAUAUCUGCUGUGUUUCAUAAGUCACCAAUCAGGUUCUGGAUUGGUCUGUUUGACAGAGCAGUGCAUGUUAUUCAGUCAGACCAGAGAGUUACAUUUUAGAAAAUGGUUUUAAAAAUGUAAAUUUAGUCAUUAAACUAAAUGAUUUUGUGUAUAUUAUGUGUAUACAUAGGGAAUAGCAAGCCCAAAUGUGCUCUUGAAGCGUGUACGAAUAUUUUACUUUGUCACAACAAAACAAAUGUCCACUAGAUGGCAGAUGGCUCAAUAUUUUUUAUUUUUUUUUUUUAUUUUUUUUUUUUUAACUUGAUGAAACAAGAAUCAGCCAAGAUAUACAUACAGUCUUUCAGUCUUUAGAGGUUUAUCUUUAUAGACUUAUGUGUUUCGGACGUUUAUUUUAUUGCUGAUAGCUAUGCUAAUUAAUUAAUGAAAGAUAUAAUAAAUUUUAAGAGACUAGGCCCUUGUUUUUCUCCAAACAUCCCCUUUGACCAUCGUGAACUCUGCACCAGUGAAUGAGUGCAUGUGUGAGUGAGAGAGAUUUCCCUUAUGCAGCAGUAUUGGCCAGAGAGCAACAGAUUUCUGGGUUAAAGUCUUUGGGUACGUGCGUGUUUGUGUGUGUGUGUGUGUGUGUGUGUGUGUAUGUGUGUGUGUGAACGUAAGAAUUGCACAUCUUUAUUGCAGGUGCUUUGUUUGCUCAAUUGAUAGUGUUAUAUAUUUUAUUUCAUUAGUGUAGUGUCAUUAAUUUCAGAGCUUUCCAUUGUUAGGAUUUGAUUUUCCUUUUAUUUUGGUCCAUGCAGUGUAAUUGUGUGGCUGUAUAAAACCUGUUUUUCAUUGCACAAAUGUUUAAUAUAGAAUGUUAUGAAUGAUAUGUGCCAAUAAAUGUGAACUUUGAUUUACUGUAGGAUGAUUUUGUACAAUAACGUUAAAAGCUGUUUAGUGACAGGCUUAAAUAUUUGAAUACUUGCUAGAUAAUAUUCAUAUGAGAAGGC
rnacentral:lncRNA from 1 species